rnacentral:rRNA from 3 species
GAGUGGCGAACUGGUGAGUAACACGUGGGAAACCUGCCCAGAAGCGGGGGAUAACACCUGGAAACAGAUGCUAAUACCGCAUAACAACUUGGACCGCAUGGUCCGAGUUUGAAAGAUGGCUUCGGCUAUCACUUUUGGAUGGUCCCGCGGCGUAUUAGCUAGAUGGUGGGGUAACGGCUCACCAUGGCAAUGAUACGUAGCCGACCUGAGAGGGUAAUCGGCCACAUUGGGACUGAGACACGGCCCAAACUCCUACGGGAGGCAGCAGUAGGGAAUCUUCCACAAUGGACGAAAGUCUGAUGGAGCAACGCCGCGUGAGUGAAGAAGGGUUUCGGCUCGUAAAACUCUGUUGUUAAAGAAGAACAUAUCUGAGAGUAACUGUUCAGGUAUUGACGGUAUUUAACCAGAAAGCCACGGCUAACUACGUGCCAGCAGCCGCGGUAAUACGUAGGUGGCAAGCGUUGUCCGGAUUUAUUGGGCGUAAAGCGAGCGCAGGCGGUUUUUUAAGUCUGAUGUGAAAGCCUUCGGCUCAACCGAAGAAGUGCAUCGGAAACUGGGAAACUUGAGUGCAGAAGAGGACAGUGGAACUCCAUGUGUAGCGGUGAAAUGCGUAGAUAUAUGGAAGAACACCAGUGGCGAAGGCGGCUGUCUGGUCUGUAACUGACGCUGAGGCUCGAAAGUAUGGGUAGCAAACAGGAUUAGAUACCCUGGUAGUCCAUACCGUAAACGAUGAAUGCUAAGUGUUGGAGGGUUUCCGCCCUUCAGUGCUGCAGCUAACGCAUUAAGCAUUCCGCCUGGGGAGUACGGCCGCAAGGCUGAAACUCAAAGGAAUUGACGGGGGCCCGCACAAGCGGUGGAGCAUGUGGUUUAAUUCGAAGCUACGCGAAGAACCUUACCAGGUCUUGACAUACUAUGCAAAUCUAAGAGAUUAGACGUUCCCUUCGGGGACAUGGAUACAGGUGGUGCAUGGUUGUCGUCAGCUCGUGUCGUGAGAUGUUGGGUUAAGUCCCGCAACGAGCGCAACCCUUAUUAUCAGUUGCCAGCAUUAAGUUGGGCACUCUGGUGAGACUGCCGGUGACAAACCGGAGGAAGGUGGGGAUGACGUCAAAUCAUCAUGCCCCUUAUGACCUGGGCUACACACGUGCUACAAUGGAUGGUACAACGAGUUGCGAACUCGCGAGAGUAAGCUAAUCUCUUAAAGCCAUUCUCAGUUCGGAUUGUAGGCUGCAACUCGCCUACAUGAAGUCGGAAUCGCUAGUAAUCGCGGAUCAGCAUGCCGCGGUGAAUACGUUCCCGGGCCUUGUACACACCGCCCGUCACACCAUGAGAGUUUGUAACACCCAAAGUCGGUGGGGUAACCUUUUAGGAACCAGCCGCCUAAGGUG